AUACUUCUUAUAUUUAAAUAAAAAAUAGAAUACUUCAUCUCUUUCCUAAAUUUUUAAGCCAAUAUCAAUCCAUUUCUAUAAUCCAAGAUGAAGAAAUCCCUUCAACUCUCGUUUACGUUCUUAAUUAUCUCCAUCAUUCUCUCACAAGGAAUGAUGGCAGAUGCGCAGAAAAAGAAUUGUCCUCAUAAAAUUCCAAUAAAAGGAAGCUAUUGUGCUCCAACUAUAUGUUUGGAUAAGUGUAAGAAGCAACAUGGAACUGUUGGUAGUUGUGCGGAAGAAAAAGGAUUUUGUAACUGCGCUUGUAAAUAAGGGUUCUCACUAAGUGUUAUGAAUCUAGUAAUGUCCAACCAAAGUUUUAUAUUAUUUCUUUUAACAAUAAGUCUAAAUGUUUGUUUUUGAUUUGUGGAUCUAUUUAUAAUAAAUAAUAAUAUGAAUGUUAAAUAAA